UACGAAGGGGGCUAGCGUUGCUCGGAAUCACUGGGCGUAAAGGGUGCGUAGGCGGGUCUUUUAAGUCAGAGGUGAAAGCCUGGAGCUCAACUCCAGAACUGCCUUUGAUACUGAGAUUCUUGAGUUCGGAAGAGGUAAGUGGAACUGCGAGUGUAGAGGUGAAAUUCGUAGAUAUUCGCAAGAACACCAGUGGCGAAGGCGGCUUACUGGUCCGAUACUGACGCUGAGGCACGAAAGCGUGGGGAGCAAACAGGG
rnacentral:rRNA from 1 species